GGUUUGAUCAUGGCUCAGAUUGAACGCUGGCGGGAUGCUUUACACAUGCAAGUCGAACGGCAGCACGGACUUCGGUCCUGGUGGCGAGUGGCGAACGGGUGAGUAAUGUAUCGGAACGUGCCUAGUAGCAGGGGGAUAACUACGCGAAAGCGUAGCUAAUACCGCAUACGCCCUUCGGGGAAAGCGGGGGACCUUCGGGCCUCGCACUAUUAGAGCGGCCGAUAUCGGAUUAGCUAGUUGGUGGGGUAACGGCUCACCAAGGCGACGAUCCGUAGCUGGUUUUGAGAGGACGACCAGCCACACUAGGACUGAGACACAGCCCAGACUCCUACGGGAGGCAGCAGUGGGAAUUUUUGGACAAUGGGGAAACCCUGAUCCAGCCAUCCCGCGUGUGCGAUGAAGGCCUUCAGGUUGUAAAACACUUUUGGCAGGAAAGAAACGGCACGGGAUAAUACCCCGUGCAACUGACGGUACCUGCAGAAUAAGCACCGGCUAACUACGUGCCAGCAGCCGCGGUAAUACGUAGGGUGCAAGCGUUAAUCGGAAUUACUGGGCAUAAAGCGUGCCAGGCGGUUCGGAAAGAAAGAUGUGAAAUCCCAGAGCUUAGCACGGAACUGCAUGUUUAACUACCGAGCUAGAGUGUGUCAGAGGGAGGUGGAAUUCCGCGUGUAGCAGUGAAAUGCGUAGAUAUGCGGAGGAACACCGGCGAAGGGCGGCCUCCUGGGAUAACACUGACGCUCAUGCACGAAAGCGUGGGGAGCAAACAGGAUUAUAAAAUACCCUGUAGUCCACGCCCUAAACGAUGUCAACUAGCUGUUGGGGCCUUCGGGCCUUGGUAGCGCAACUAACGUGAAGUUGACCGCCUGGGGAGUACGGUCGCAAGAUUAAAACUCAAAUUGACGGGGACCCGCACAAGCGGUGGAUGAUGUGGAUAAUUCGAUGCAACGCGAAAACAUGCCUACCCUUCGGCAUGUCUGGAAUCCCGAAGAGAUUUGGGAGUGUCGCAAGAGAACCGGAACACAGGUGCUGCAUGGCUGUCGUCAGCUCGUGUCGUGAGAUGUUGGGUUAAGUCCCGCAACGAGGCGCAACCCUUGUCAUUAGUUGCUACGAAAGGGCACUCUAAUGAGACUGCCGGUGACAAACCGGGGGAAGGUGGGGAUGACGUCAAGUCCUCGUGGCGCCCCAUGGUGGGGCUUUACACGUCAUACAAUGGUCGGGACAGAGAUCGCCAACCCGCGAGAGGGCCCAAUCCCAGAAACCCGAUCGUAGUCCGGAUCGCAGUCUGCAACUCGACUGCGUGAAGUCAGAAUCGCUAGUAAUCGCGGAUCAGCAUGUCGCGGUGAAUACGUUCCGGGUCUUGUACCCCACCGCCCGUCACACCAUGGGAGUGGGUUUUACCAGUAAUUAGCCUAACCGUAAGGAGGGCGAUUACCACGGUGAUUCUCAUGACUGGGGGUGAAGUCGUAACAAGGUAA
rnacentral:rRNA from 1 species